GUUGUAUGGUUAAGUGACUAAGCGUACAUGGUGGAUGCCUUGGCAGUCAGAGGCGAUGAAGGACGUACUAACCUGCGAUAAGCCGUGAGCAGUCGGUAAGAGACAUUACGACUCACGGAUUUCCGAAUGGGGAAACCCACUUAGCAUAAGCUAGGUAUCGCUGCGUGAAUACAUAGCGUAGCGAGGCGAACCGGGAGAACUGAAACAUCUAAGUACCCCGAGGAAAAGAAAUCAACCGAGAUUCCCUCAGUAGCGGCGAGCGAACGGGGAUUAGCCCUUAAGCAUCUUGGAAGUUAGUGGAACGGUCCUGGAAAGGCCGGCGAUACAGGGUGAUAGCCCCGUACACGAAAACAACCUUGAUGUGAAAUCGAGUAGGGCGGGACACGUGACAUCCUGUCUGAAUAUGGGGGGACCAUCCUCCAAGGCUAAAUACUCCUGACUGACCGAUAGUGAACCAGUACCGUGAGGGAAAGGCGAAAAGAACCCCUGUGAGGGGAGUGAAAUAGAACCUGAAACCGUGUACGUACAAGCAGUGGGAGCCCUUCGGGGUGACUGCGUACCUUUUGUAUAAUGGGUCAGCGACUUACAUUUUGUAGCGAGGUUAACCGUAUAGGGGAGCCGUAGGGAAACCGAGUCUUAACUGGGCGUCUAGUUGCAAGGUGUAGACCCGAAACCGGGUGAUCUAGCCAUGGGCAGGUUGAAGGUUGAGUAACAUCAACUGGAGGACCGAACCCACUAACGUUGCAAAGUUAGGGGAUGACCUGUGGCUGGGGGUGAAAGGCCAAUCAAACUCGGAGAUAGCUGGUUCUCCCCGAAAGCUAUUUAGGUAGCGCCUCGGACGAAUACUACUGGGGGUAGAGCACUGUUUGGGCUAGGGGGUCAUCCCGACUUACCAACCCCAUGCAAACUCCGAAUACCAGUAAGUAAUAUCCGGGAGACACACGGCGGGUGCUAACGUCCGUCGUGAAGAGGGAAACAACCCAGACCGCCGGCUAAGGUCCCAAAGUUCUGGUUAAGUGGGAAACGAUGUGGGAAGGCUCAGACAGCUAGGAUGUUGGCUUAGAAGCAGCCAUCAUUUAAAGAAAGCGUAAUAGCUCACUAGUCGAGUCGGCCUGCGCGGAAGAUGUAACGGGGCUCAAACCAGGCACCGAAGCCGCGGAUUCACACUAAGUGUGAGUGGUAGGGGAGCGUUCUGUAAGUCUGCGAAGGUGUGUCGAGAGGCAUGCUGGAGAUAUCAGAAGUGCGAAUGCUGACGUAAGUAACGAUAAAGGGGGUGAAAAGCCUCCUCGCCGGAAGACCAAGGGUUCCUGUCCAACGUUAAUCGGGGCAGGGUGAGUCGACCCCUAAGGCGAGGCCGAAAGGCGUAGUCGAUGGGAAGCAGGUUAAUAUUCCUGCACGACUUGUAAUUGCGAUGGGGGGACGGAGAAGGCUAGGUGGGCCAGGCGACGGUUGUCCUGGUGAAAGUGCGUAGGUGGUGUUUCUAGGCAAAUCCGGAGACACAACACUGAGACACGAGACGAACACACUACGUGUGUGGAAGCCAUUGAUGCCCUGCUUCCAGGAAAAGCCUCUAAGCUUCAGAUUACAAGUCAUCGUACCCCAAACCGACACAGGUGGUCGGGUAGAGAAUACCAAGGCGCUUGAGAGAACUCGGGUGAAGGAACUAGGCAAAAUAGAACCGUAACUUCGGGAGAAGGUUCGCUCUUGACAGUGAAGUCCCUUGCGGAUGGAGCAGUUGGGAGUCGCAGUGACCAGAUGGCUGGGACUGUUUAUCAAAAACACAGCACUCUGCAAACACGAAAGUGGACGUAUAGGGUGUGACACCUGCCCGGUGCCGGAAGGUUAAUUGAUGGGGUUAGCGCAAGCGAAGCUCUUGAUCGAAGCCCCGGUAAACGGCGGCCGUAACUAUAACGGUCCUAAGGUAGCGAAAUUCCUUGUCGGGUAAGUUCCGACCUGCACGAAUGGUGUAACCAUGGCCAUGCUGUCUCCACCCGAGACUCAGUGAAAUCGAAUUCGCCGUGAAGAUGCGGUGUACCCGCGGCUAGACGGAAAGACCCCGUGAACCUUUACUACAGCUUGGCACUGAACAUUGAACCUACAUGUGUAGGAUAGGUGGGAGGCUUUGAAGGCGUGACGCCAGUUGCGCUGGAGCCGUCCUUGAAAUACCACCCUUGUAUGUUUGAUGUUCUAACGCAGGCCCGUGAAUCCGGGUCGCGGACAGUGCCUGGUGGGUAGUUUGACUGGGGCGGUCUCCUCCCAAAGAGUAACGGAGGAGCACGAAGGUUGGCUAAUCCUGGUCGGACAUCAGGAGGUUAGUGCAAUGGCAUAAGCCAGCUUAACUGCGAGACGGACAGGUCGAGCAGGUACGAAAGUAGGUCAUAGUGAUCCGGUGGUUCUGAAUGGAAGGGCCAUCGCUCAACGGAUAAAAGGUACUCCGGGGAUAACAGGCUGAUACCGCCCAAGAGUUCAUAUCGACGGCGGUGUUUGGCACCUCGAUGUCGGCUCAUCACAUCCUGGGGCUGAAGUCGGUCCCAAGGGUAUGGCUGUUCGCCAUUUAAAGUGGUACGCGAGCUGGGUUCAGAACGUCGUGAGACAGUUCGGUCCCUAUCUGCCGUGGGCGUUGGAUGAUUGAAGGGAGUUGCUCCUAGUACGAGAGGACCGGAGUGAACGAACCUCUGGUGUUCGGGUUGUCACGCCAGUGGCACUGCCCGGUAGCUAAGUUCGGAAUCGAUAACCGCUGAAAGCAUCUAAGCGGGAAGCGAGCCCUGAGAUGAGUCAUCCCUGACCCCUUGAGGGUCCUAAAGGGCCGUUGGAGACCACAACGUUGAUAGGUGGGGUGUGUAAGCGCGGCGACGUGUUGAGCUAACCCAUACUAAUUACCCGUGAGGCUUAACCAUACAACACCCAAGAAGUGUUCU
rnacentral:rRNA from 1 species